rnacentral:rRNA from 1 species
GACGGAGGGUGCUAGCGUUGUUCGGAAUUACUGGGCGUAAAGGGCGCGUAGGCGGCCUGAUCAGUCGGGUGUGAAAGCCCGGGGCUCAACCCCGGAACGGUACCCGAGACGGUCAGGCUGGAGACCGGGAGAGGAGGGUGGAAUAGCCAGUGUAGAGGUGAAAUUCGUAGAUAUUGGCUGGAACACCGGUGGCGAAAGCGGCUCUCUGGCCCGGUUCUGACGCUGAGGCGCGAAAGCGUGGGGAGCAAACAGG